AGUCAGUUGGCUGCUUUGUGAAGAAGAAGGAGUCAGUGUUCUGAGGGGUUGCCUACAAGAAGCACCAAGAAGUAACUGGUGUGUAUGCAGAGGGACUGGUGCUGAACUGGCUCUGCCUGGCAGGGCACUGGGAGACAGCAGGGCCGUGUCUCCAACCUGGGAAUGAAGAACUGUCCCCAGGCCAAGCCAAAUGUCAAAGAAGCUUGUUCUGGAGAGAACUGAUUGGAAGAAUAGAGAUCCAGGAGAAUUAGCCAGCAGGUCACUCUGUCUGGUGCUGCCUUGCCUCCUGCAGAACGGAGAUGCAAUUUCCAGAGAUCCUUCCCCACCAAAUGCCCAAAGUAGCAACCAGGAAUUCCUGCAAAGGAUAAACUGUAUCACAGAGCUGCCUCUUAAUAAGGUCCUAUCAGUGGUGCAGUGCUAAUGUUUCACUCAUCUCUCUCUAUGGAUGCUUGCACAGGAGGGGUGAGACUAACAGCUCUUCCCGAGGAACGAAAUUUUUGCUCUUUUGGAACAAUGAGCCUCAUUCCUAGGAGUCAUAAAUCAAGCCAAAGUAGCCUGAGGGAUUUAUACCAGAGAAUGAUCUGCAGCACCAGUUUCUUUUUAUUAUCAAGUUAGAGCCAUGGAUCAGAAGAGGAAGCUGCGCCAGUUGACUGUUCUAUUUUAUCCACCAGCCUUUCUCCUUAUUAGUCUUUAGAAAUUCCUUAUUUACCACAUGCAGCAGGACUGAGCUCCCACAAUAAAAGCUGCAGCUGUUUCUGCUUUUUUUUCUUUCUCCUUUUGCCUUCUGCUAGCUAUGUCCCAAACACAGCCAACAAUGGUCUGUCCACCCAGGGAACCAACAUCAAAAGUCUCUUUUGUUUUAGCACAUUCCUCCUUUGCUGCCCCAGCUUUCAUGGCAUUUGUGGCACGCCAGCAGCAGUUGUGAGGAAGACUGUGGGCCAUAAUCUCUCAUUAAUUCUCCUGACCAGAAGCUCUCUGGGGUGGCUCCAGCCUCCGGUGCCAGCAGCACCAGCUGGCCCAGCAUCCCUGUGGGAGGGAGUCUGCCCUUUUGCCACUGCUUUUAUGGAGCUGCUGUUGGGCCAGGAGGUCCUGAGGAGUCCCAAGCUGUCCUGAUGCAUUGACUGGAAGGAGGGAGAGAUGUUGGCUCCCACUGGGCAUUUGGUGGCACAGAACCUUCCAGAGGUUCAUGGCUGUGAUUCAUGUCAAUUCAUGUCAAAUCCUUGCUGUGGUUUGACACUGGGAGGACCCCAGCCACUGCUGUCUGUUUGUAGAGGUGCUGCUGUUGAUCAGGUUCUGGUUAGAAUCCAAGAAUCAUUACAGUUGGAAAAACCCUCCAAGAUGACCAAGUCCAACCUUUAUCUGGACACCAACACAUGAACUAAACCAUAGCACCAAGUGCUGCACUGAGAAAUUUCUCCAACACUUGCAGGGAUUAUGAUUCCACCACCUCCCUAGGCAGCCCCUUACAAUUCUCGACUUGGUGGACUGCAGGUAAAUUUCUCAUAUAAAUAAGAAAAUGGCUGUGGCUGCACACUCCUUCUUGUGAUUUAACAUUGAGAGGACACCAACCACUGCUGUCUGUUUGUAGAGGUGCUGCUGUUCAUCAGGUUCUGGUUAGAAUCCAAGAAUCAUUAUGGUUGGAAAAAACCUCCAAGAUGACCCAGUCCAACCUUUGGCUGAGCACCAACAUAUGAACUAAACCACAGCACCAAGAGCUGCACUGAGAAAUUUCUCCAACACUUGCAGGGAUUAUGACUCCACCACCUCCCUGGGCAGCAAUUGAAGAAAUUACAAUUCUUGAUUUGGUGGACUGCAGGUAAAUUCCUGAUAUAAAAUUUCCAGGUAUAAACAAGAAAACAAUGAAAAAGACCUGGGCUCAGUACUCAGGAGAGGCCACCCAGUGGUUGCUGUUCUUCUGUGUAGUGUUCCCUGUUUUGUAGUGACAACAAAAGGAAUUUCUAAAGCCUGUCUUCCCUUUGACGACCUAAGAAUGAAUUAUUAAAACAACGCUUUGUGAACC